GUGUUCAAUUGAGCAGCACGUCAUAUACUAAAAUUGGAACACACAGAGAUUAGCAUGGCUCCUGCGCAGGGGUGACAUGCAAAUUCAUGAAUAACACUGGAACGGG
rnacentral:snRNA from 1 species